CCACAGUGUCACUUCCGGUUUUCUGGUGGUUAAUUGGAGAUAAGAGUCUCAAGGUCUUUCUUGCCCUGGAUGGUUUUGAUCUACAAUCCUUAGAU